rnacentral:piRNA from 1 species
UACAGGCCAUUGAGUGACAGGUG